CAACGUCAUCAACGGCCGCCAUAGCGCCUUCGUCCAAAAACUACACGGAAGACAACAAACUAAACGUGAAUUGGGGCCGUGCCCACGGUGUCUGGGUGAAGGUGGUUGUUAAAAAAGAUUUUCUGACAUCUUCCAGGACCUCGAUUUUUAGCUGUAGGCUGUCGGAAAAUCACACGGAACCGUUAAAAAACAAGGAACGACCAGCUACAACCACAACAAACCACAAACUAACGCAACUCAAGACGGAGCUAACGGCCAAACCCAGCUGGCGGUUAGCGGACGAAAAUCGUUAUUAAAUUACAGUGACACAUAAAAAAUGGCCUGCAACACCGCCGAAGAGAGUCGUGACUCCACAGGAGAGGACAGCUCCAGCUGUGAGGAUUUUGUGCCUCUGUCAAAGCUCCUUGAAACAAAACCCAGUGAGGGGAAAACCAAACCCAGCUUAAGGUCCAACUCUACAACACACUCCAAAAAAGACAAAGCUUUGUAUGACUCCUCGGACGACGAGCCGCUGCAAAAGAAGAAAACAGCAUUAAAAACAAAAUCGCCCAAAAAACAGGAAAAGAAGGAAAACACGCCGCCCAGGCUGAACGGCACAAAUCAAAAAAACGCAGAUGUGAAUGCUGAUGAUGACUCUGAUAAUGAGCCUAUGAUUAAAAUUGCCAAAGUGUCCUCCAGAGCUGCCAAGGAAUCCGUUUCACCGCCACCCAAAAAAUCUGAUGAGAAAAAGAAGCGAGAUACACAGAACAAUGCUGAUAACUCAGAAGAUGAACCUCUGAGUGCAGUUGCCAAGAGAUCCAAGAGAAAGGCGUCCAACGUGCCAGCUGUAAAAGCAUCCCAAGUUAUCAAAUCAAAAAGGAACGCAGCAAAGAAGAGAGUUAAAUACGCUGAGACUUCCAGUGACAACUCAGAUGACGAGCCACUAGCAACAGUCAAGAGGAAACUGACAAAUACUGCUAAAAAGCAAAAGAAGAAAACGCCGACAAAACGUACAAACAAGUUACUUAAAGACAGCAGCUCAGACGACGAUGAUGAUGAUGACGAUGUGCCUCUGGCGAACCUUGUUGCCAAGAAGAAGAAACCAGUGAAGACAAACGCAAAGAAGAAGAGCGCAGCAUCACAAAAGAGUGCUUCAAAAAAGAGACAAGAGCCCAGUGGUGACAGCUCGGACGACGAGCCUUUGAUUAAUUUUGUGAAAAAGAGCUCCACAAAGAAAAAACCCAAAACAAAGGCUGCAGCUACAAAGAAGAGGCAGACUACUCCUAAAAAGCCCAAAAAGAAGCCUGUGACAGAUUCAUCAAGCAACAGUUCAGAUGAUGAACCUUUAAUCAAACACCCCCAAGUGACGAAAAUCCUGAGGAUCGAGCUGGAGCGCUGUGAUGUUAAAGGAAGCCCAAAGAAAAACAGAACAGAUGAAACAUCAAUUACUGCAAAGGGAGACUGCAGAGGUUCAGAGGAAUCAUCAGAGUAAAAAUGAGCGGACGCUGAUGGAGGCACAGUUUUGUUAUACAAGUUCAUCGGUGUGUUUUAUGGUUUUAUGGUUAAAGGGUUUUAACUCCAGUUUUUAGGUUAGGUUCAAUUUUAUCUGGUCCUAUCGGGAUUUUAUGUGAGAUGUUUACUGUAUGUGCCUAUUGUUUUUAUUAGAGAAAAUACUCAAUACUUCAACUGUUGUUACAUCUCUGCAUUCCUAUUAACAGCACACUCCACAUUCAGUGGUGAAAAUAGGUUCUGUUGUAUUAAACUGUUUUCACUAUGAGCUGGUUCGGCAUUCUAUACUUAUUGGUAUUUUUCUUUAACUGUCGUUUUAUGUCAAUUGAUAAAAUGAAAAUUAAAAAAGACCUGGGAAUUAAAAAAAAGUGACAUUCAAUAUGUG
rnacentral:lncRNA from 1 species